GACGAAGGGGGCUAGCGUUGUUCGGAAUUACUGGGCGUAAAGCGCGUGUAGGCGGUUGUCCAAGUUGGAUGGGAAAGCCUUGAGCUUAACUCAAGAAAUGUAUUCAGGACUGGAUGACUAGAGGACCGGAGAGGAUAGUGGAAUUCCCAGUGUAGUGGUGAAAUACGUAGAGAUUGGGAAGAACACCAGUGGCGAAGGCGGCUAUCUGGACGGUUUCUGACGCUAAGACGCGAAAGCGUGGGGAGCAAACAGG
rnacentral:rRNA from 1 species